CCUACGGGAGGCAGCAGUGAGGAAUAUUGGUCAAUGGACGAGAGUCUGAACCAGCCAAGUAGCGUGAAGGAUGACUGCCCUAUGGGUUGUAACCCUCUUUUAUAUGGGAAUAAAAUGUUCCAUGUGUGGGAUUUUGUCUGUACCAUAUGAAUAAGGAUCGGCUAACUACGCGCCAGCAGCCGCGGUAAUACGGAGGAUCCGAGCGUUAUCCGGAUUUAUUGGGGUUAAAGGGUGCGUAGGUGGAUUGUUAAGUCAGUUGUGAAAGUUUGCGGCUCAACCGUAAAAUUGCAGUUGAAACUGGCAGUCUUGAGUACAGUAGAGGUAGGCGGAAUUCGUGGUGUAGCGGUGAAAUGCUUAGAGAUCACGAAGAAUACUGAUUGCGAAGGCAACUUACUAGAAUGCAACUGACACUGAGGCUCGAAAGUGUGGGUAGCAAACAGGAUUAGAUACCCGAGUAGUC
rnacentral:rRNA from 1 species